GACACGACUCUCGGCAAUGGAUAUCUCGGCUCUCGCAUCGAUGAAGAGCGCAGCGAA
rnacentral:rRNA from 1 species